rnacentral:lncRNA from 1 species
UAGAUCCAAGUAAAACAGUAACCAUAGGUUUUUCGUCAAUUCUGUAGUAAGAGUCGUUGGCCUCCACCUCUUCGGACUCCACCGUCGGUUCUUCAAGGUUUUCAUGAUAAUUUUUUAGAGCAUCAGUCAACUCAUCAAUUGGAAUGGAUGCUUCGGAAAACAGCAUCUUAAUUUUUUUCAAUGUCACUGUAUUUUCAACGCAUAACCACGAAAGGAUAAGAACUGUAGAUUGGAAAGGAAACAGUCCAUGAUCAAUUUGUUGGAGAAACCAUUUGGUACUCUUUUCCUCCGAAUCAGGACUAAAAUCAAGUUUUCUGCUUUGGUCAAUACCUUUGAGUUGGAUUCUCAAGCGAUCGUAAAUUUUGAAAAGGCGUUUCAUUUUUUCAAAGUCAUUUUCAAUGAAUUUCCGUAAAAAGCGCACCCUUUCUACGGUGUCAGCAGGUAAAGAUCGAAAUAAAGAUGCCAGAAUAGCUAAUAUAUGUUCCAGAGUAUCGGCUGCAGAUAUUUUCAUAAACGCAGCAAAAAUAUAUUUCAAACCGCCUGCUUCUACAAAUCGAAUACAAUAAGGAGUGGAAAGAGGCCCAAAUAAAAGAUAGUCCAAAACUUUGAUUGUAGAAUAACGGCUUUUUCCUUUAUGUUUCAUAUUUAGUAUGCAUAAUUCAAUACCUUCCUCUUUUAGAAAAAGGGAUUUUCCUUUCGUUUCUUGAACCAGACUACAUAAGCAAUCAAACACGUUUUCCAUCAUUUCUUCUUCUGAUCCUUGGGUUGGAUCACGAAGCCUAUAAGGACUGAUCCGGCGCAACAAAAGAUCAAUCCCAUUCAAGUUGCACACUUUCAAUUUAGCUUCUUUUGAAUUAGCGAGAAUGAUAGCUAAAAUUUCAACAGCGUACUGCAAAUUAGUUGAUAUAGAAGUUUCAUCAACAGACGAUCUACUCAGUAACCAUUCUACCAAUGUUGUGUUUUCAACUAUUAUUGAACAAAUGCUAUUGUCCACAGAUAAUAAAUUCUCCAUAAGAGAGAGCACACAAUAUACUCCAUGUCGGUCUUCCUCAUUAGAUUCGUCAAACCUUUUGAUUGUAUUUGAAAGCAAAGGAAGCAAACCAGAAUCUAUAAGGGAAGUAAAUAAGGAGUUUAAUGCGUCUGGGUCAACAUCCUCGUCAGUCAGUUCUAUCAAUAGCUCCAAUACCGUAAUAGUAAUAUCCGCAUUUUCAUGGUUCAUUAAUUCUAAAAACGUGGAAACACAAUCUAAUUUAAGGAAAAUGGGUAUGAGGAUAGGAUACUCUGAAAGCACAUUGAAGCUUCGAAUUUCCAGAUCAAGAUCUGCCUCUGAUUCUAUAAACCUUUGAGGAGAAGUAGAAUACUUGAUGCGUAACUCCUGAUUAUUAUUAAUUGUUUUUUCAAGUCGUACUACCAUGCGCUUCAAUUCAGUAGGAGUCAAUGAAGCAGGUUCUUCCUGGGCUUCCUGUUCGUCUAAAAAGUCUAAAACGGUUUUUUCACUCUUUUUAAGCCCACUUCCAAAAAAUCUACCUCCUUCCUCGUCAAAUUCUUCAUUCUCCUCAUCGCUAUUCUCUUCAGCGAGUCUUCUGCGACUACUAGCUGGCUCCAAAGAGUCUGCUUCCUCAGGGUUCCUUUUCUUAUUUGUUUCCUCGGUAUUUUUAAAAAUUGAAUCUACAUCCAUUUAGAAUAAUGUAUUUUUUAUGCGCCAGUUUCCUUUUCAAAUUGAAUAUAUGAAAACCGUCUGAUACAAAAUAAAUAAUUUUGACAAACUUAUAUUUUAUAGCCGCAUCAAGUAAAAUAAAAGCCUUAUGAAAAGACUAUCGUGCAAUUCAAUUAUAACGCCUGACUCGUUCCUAAAAUUCCUCUCGUUUACCAGUUCAAGUAAAAGCUAGGUAAGAUGUAGGCAUGUACAAAGUGUAUCAAAAGUGAAAACCAGAAUCUAAGCUUGGAAAAAAAUAAUAACAGCAAGUAAAUUCCCCUCUGUUUUAUAAAUAUUAUACAACUCUUAUAUCCAAGAAAGGAGAGAUUGGAAGAAGGAUAAAAAGUGUUUAUUUAAGAGAAGAGAAGCUAAAUAAAGUGCAUGCAGUUAACUCGAAAUUUUUUAGGUUGAUUAAAUAAGGAA